GGAUCGUUCCCCUUGGCUGGGAGCAGAUAAUGUGUGUAUCCUGAGAGCAGGCAGAACCAAGAACAGGCAAACUUAGAAGACACUCAGCUAAGCACUUGCUGACUUCUUAUAGGUUCACCAAUCAG
rnacentral:antisense_RNA from 1 species